ACCACACUGUAAAAAAAUACUGUGAUUUCUACGGGCGUUUAGUAGUAUCUGACGACGGCGUGUUACCGUAAUCACAAAUACUGCGAAAACUACGUAAAACGGUGGCGCCAUCAUCAUGCGCCGGCCAAAAGCUUCAAUGCGGAGGCAAGGCCAAGCCAAGUACGGGUCAUUGCCGUCAUUCACAACAGCUAGAGUCACUAAAUAAGCGUAGCUUAUUUAGUGACUCUAACAACAGCCGGACGCCGAACAUCGUGCGCGGACGAUCGUUGAGGAAGAAGGACGAAGUGGUCGUUGUAAAUCUCGUGAAUGCACGUAGCCAGUGUUUCGAUGCCAGAGCUGACUGAUGGGUGCACAUGGCUCCUUCGAAUGUUCUUCCUUUGAAAAAAUAAACAUGUUUUGAUGCCAGAGCUGACUGAUGGGUGCACAUGGUUCCUUCGAAUGUUCUUCCUUUGAAAAAAUAAACGGUGAGUAUAACUGCAUGUUAAUUGCCCUGCUCCCUGUAACAGUUUCCUUUCUCUUUGCAGAGUUUUGACGCCAGAGCUGACUGAUGGGUGCACAUGGUUCCUUCGAAUGUUCUUCCUUUGAAAAAAUAAACGAGUUUUGACGCCAGAGCUGACUGAUGGGUGCACAUGGUUCCUUCGAAUGUUCUUCCUUUGAAAAAAUAAACGGUGAGUAUAACUGCAUGUUAAUUGCCCUGCUCCCUGUAACAGUUUCCUUUCUCUUUGCAGAGUUUUGACGCCAGAGCUGACUGAUGGGUGCACAUGGUUCCUUCGAAUGUUCUUCCUUUGAAAAAAUAAACGAGUUUUGACGCCAGAGCUGACUGAUGGGUGCACAUGGUUCCUUCGAAUGUUCUUCCUUUGAAAAAAUAAACGGGUUUUGAUGCCAGAGGUGAUUGGCGCAUUUUCAUCACUAUGUACAUAGAAAAUAAAUCCCGAUGUGACAAACAUCACAA